CUGCAUUCCUGGGGCCACCUACCUCUCCACUUUGCUCCACAAGCCCUCAGAGGCCGAAGACCAUCAAGACAAGGACCUUAGAAGCCCCAGGAAUUCACCACCACGCACCCACUCACACACUGUCAGUGUCUGCGGUCAGACUUUGAUUACAUUAAUGUAGCACUUGGUUGCAUGCAUACCUCCAGAAAUUUCUAAAGGAACAUCCAAGCCGGAAGGAGGGAGUGUACACACACGCGCGCGCGCGCGCGCGCACACACACACACACACACACACACACACACACACACACACACGACUAUAAUGUAUAAUGAUCGAGCGUCCUUGUGAAGACAUCUGACACAGAUUUAUCCUAAAUCUGUAAUUCCCUCAAACGCCACUUCCUCCAUAAGGCCCUUUAAUAUUUAACCCAAGUACAGGUAACUUUUAACUUCUCUGCAAUUGCAUACUUCACAAGUAUUUCUGUCUGGUCCGGUGGCCACAACUAGUUACAACAGCAGUCUUUGCAGUCUGGUCCAGUAACAACGGGAGCUGUGGUUCUAAGGAAGGAACCAACCAUUGCCCUUUUCUGUAGACCAGUUGAUUGGGAAGACCUCACUGGAAUGGUCUUCCGGACCUCUACCAGUUUCUGCUCCAACUGUGAGCAAGGCUCACAUCCUCACCUACUGGGUUCUUUCUGCAUCUAAAUUGUGACAGUUAAAACCCAAACUGGUUUUACCCAGGUUUCAGAAAGGAUCUCUUAGAGGUGCCACUAGCCACUUAGACAUUGCUUAGCCUAGUCUCUAAAAAAUUUUGACAUUAGUGGCUUUGUAACACGUCAACAUGAUUAGGCGGAGUUGCAAGCUAAGUUGUCCUAUAAAAAAUGGAAACAUUUCCUUCCUGCGUUUAUUUCAUUGAUUUAUAUGAUUCUGCCUAUGUUAAAAAAAGAAAGCUUAAAAUUUCACCUAAACUUCAAAUAUUGGAUAUUUGAGAAAGAAAUUCCUACUGAAACAAGGUUCUGGGCUGUCUAAUAGUCUAGAUUCUUAAAAUUAGCAUCAAAUUCCGGGUAUGUGAUUUAGGAACAUAUUACUUUAUGGCAUUAAAAAGAAAUGGCUUGAUUUUGAACAUAUAAAAUCUCAUCUUUCAUUUUCUAUAAUUUACUGAAAUACCUGUGGAUCAAAACCGAAUAUACAAUACAUGUUAUGAGAACAAAGUUGGCUUACUGGUUAAUUUUAAAAUACAAAUUUCUGAAGAUAUUUAUUCAACAAUAGUUGUCCAUUUCAAAUGUAGACAUUUGGAACCUAACUCGCUGAAUUUCCUCUGUGGACAUCUGUCACUAUCAUGUAGCAAGUGUGGGGGUUUGAAUAGGUAAGGCCCCCAUAGACUUAUGUGUUUGAAUUACAUAGGGAGUGGCACUAUUAGGAGGUGUGGUCUUGUUGGAGGAAGUGUAUCACUGUGGGGGCCUGGCUUUGAGGUCUCCUGUAUCCAAGCUCCGCCCAGUGUGGAACACAGUCUCCUCCUGACUGCCUUCCAAUCAAGAUGUAGAACUCUCAGCUUGUCUAGUAUGGCUGCCUGCAUGCUGCCAUAUUUCCUUCCAUAGUAAUAAUGGACUGAACCUCUAAAACUGCAAGCUACUCUCAAUUAAAUGCUUUCCUUUAUAAGAGUCGCCUUGGUCAUAAUGUCUCUUCACAGUAAUGAUGAAAUUAAGACAGUAAGUGUGUGUCUUAAUUUUUAAUUCUAGGACUUUACAAGACAGGGGUAAAGACAAAUGUUCAAAAAGCUCUUGAGCACAGAUCCAGAAUUUACAAAUAAAAGAGAAAACUGGCUGAGCUUGGAGGGUUGGGGUGACUGGUAUGUAGCCGAGCUUAGCCAUCAUUCUGAUUUUGUAUCUGAGAAUAGUGAGGUGUCCAGGAGCCAGUCCAAUGUGGAGCCCAGGAGACAACUAUAGCAUGGAACUUGCAGGACUUGCAAUAUAUUGAAUAGCUUUUAGUCUAUAGAAAUUUAGCUUAUGGUCACUUCACAAUAAACAAAAUACCAGGUUGCUAACAUGAGAGACAACCUUUGAGCUUUUCAGAUUUUUAAUUAAAUGGCUUUCCUUUUCCUGAAGUAUGUGUGAAGCAGAUGCUGUUGAUUUUCCAACUAAACAGGAGUGAAAGCAGUCCAUGUAAAUGGUCAACUCUAGGUUGGAGACCUGAGUGGGCAGGGGUACCCACCACCCCAGACGAGGCCCAGAUGAUUCCAGUAUAAGCUGCAGAUGCCAGAUACAGAGCUGCAGAGUUUGGUGUUCACCUCCUCAGUUUAGGUCUUGCUAUGGUCUCAUCAUUCUUAACUAUGCCCUUACUGCUCUCUGUUGGAUUUUGUGCCAUUGUAUAUUAGAAAUAUGUAACUUUUUCUGCUGGGUCUCACCAUAAGAGAUUGAUUGAGCCCCAGUAGAAACUUUAUGCUUAUACUUUUGAAUACUCCUGGAACAUUUAUACUUUGGGUACUUCAUGAAAUGUAAUAAAUACAUUUUGUGUUAUAAAAUUAA
ensembl:lincRNA Gm43254 predicted gene 43254